UACGUAGGCAGCAAGCGUUGUUCGGAGUUACUGGGCGUAAAGGGUGCGUAGGCGGCUUUUUAAGUUUGGUGUGAAAUCUCCCGGCUCAACUGGGAGGGUGCGCCGAAUACUGAGAGGCUAGAGUGUGGGAGAGGAAAGUGGAAUUCCUGGUGUAGCGGUGAAAUGCGUAGAUAUCAGGAGGAACACCGGUGGUGUAAACGGCUUUCUGGACCAUAACUGACGCUGAGGCGCGAAAGCCAGGGGAGCAAACGGG
rnacentral:rRNA from 1 species